AUUAGUUUCCUUGUUUAUCCAUUAUCAUGCCUCUGGUUUUGUAGUAAUGACAUUUCGGUCUGGCCUAUUAGUACUGUACAUCUGAAACACCAAGAGGACCAAGCAAAAUACACCUUGGUAUCCAUAUUCAGGUAUAGAUUGUCUCCAAAACAACAGGUAUCCUUUCAGGUGAGACAGCAUCCCUUCCAGCUCUAGGCUCAUCAUACACACUCUGUAGUAAUGUUGUCUUGUCCAGUUUGCCUGAAAUCAUCACAGAGCAAGUUCAUCCUUCGACCAUUCCGCUUGAUCUGGUCAUCCAUACGGUGGAGAAAGAUUAUCUCCCCUUUGCAGUUGAUGAA